rnacentral:rRNA from 1 species
CCUACGGGUGGCAGCAGUGGGGGAUAUUGGGCAAUGGGCGCAACCCUGACGCAGCAACGCCGCGUGAAGGAAGGAGGGUUUCGGCUCGUAAAGUUCUUUUGGCAGGGAAGAGUAGAAGACUGUACCUGACGGAUAAGCCACGGCUAACUACGUGCAAGCAGCCGCGGUAAUACGUAGGUGGCAAGCGUUGUCCGGAUUUACUGGGUGUAAAGGGCGUGUAGGCGGGUUGACAAGUCAGGUGUGAAAGCCUGCGGCUUAACCGCAGAACUGCAUUUGAAACUGUUGAGCUUGAGUACUGGAGAGGCAGACGGAAUUCCUAGUGUAGCGGUGAAAUGCGUAGAUAUUAGGAGGAACACCAGUGGCGAAGGCGGUCUGCUGGACAGUAACUGACGGUGAGGCGCGAAAGCGUGGGGAGCAAACAGGAUUAGAUACCCUAGUAGUC